UUCAACAGUCGAAGUGCAAGGAUGUCUUUCUCACAACUACGAGUGUUCAUUCUCGUACAUAACCUUGCAUCUCGUUCUUACUUAACUCGUAACAAUGAGUUUAGGAGUACAAUUCCCGAUUCUUGUACGCCAAACAAAUCGACCGUGUCUCGUCUCGCGAACCGUUUCCUUGACGCAGGAAAUAUUUACUGGGUUGCAUCAAAUACGAAAACAGGAAAAGUGUGAAUGCAUCCAUCGCUGAACGCGGUGGACAUUUCAAAAACUUAAUAGAACAUUUUUUUAUGAUUUAAGUACAUUAUUUUUGGUAGAAGACGAAUUUCUUCAUGAGUUACAUCAUCUCACGUAGAGCUACAUAUUAUCUGUAACUGUGUCCGCGAAAUGUGAUAAAAAUUAUCUUGAGUUAACGUUGUUACCGGCUGUGCUUUUGGCAAUGACUGAUAAUUAGUACCUACUGCUACCGCCAUAUCGUUUAGUGGUUUCACAAUAGGUGGCAUGUGGUAUUCGCAGUGCCAACUGAAUGGGUCACUGAACGUUUUGUAAGUCUUAAUCAAAUACUCCGUGACUAUUUUUUCGUAAUUAUUUACUUUGGUUUUCGAUAUUUUAAGGUCGAUAUAAUUCAAGAUGGCGAUAGGUCGUUUGUGAUUGUUAGUGGUAGAACUUGUGGUCUAAAGUAAUUUUAUAAAAUGGGGAAAGGCUUCAAUAAUUAUAUGUGCAAGAAAUUCUUUCAUCCUGCGUCUAGAGACAAUUUAAAAAGGGUCUGGAUGGCAGAGCAGAAGGCAGAGUCUUAUAAAAAGAAGCAAGAAGAAUU